AUUGAUGCCAAAACUAGUCUUUGUACCUGGUUGUAUUGUCAUUCAUCUUUUUAGUACAGGACUGUAUAAUUAUAACGCCUUCAUUUAGAAAAUGGUGCAAUAUUCCUCACUGUUUCUAUGAUCGGUGUGUCGGAUAUGCACACCUGUAAGUUAAGAAGUUUCUUUGUUAAAAAAAAAAAAGUGCAUAGUUUUCACCUCUUUAUCCAUUUUUCGGGAAUAUUUCAUGCAAGAAAGAUAAUCGGGUUCAGAGGAUUAGUGCAAUAUUUUUGCCUAAGGGUCGUCCACACCUCUAAACUUAUUCUUUUAAUAAUAAUAUGUGACAAUGAGAAAUUUUUUAUGUAAAAUAAAAUUACCCGGUAUCUACAUCAGACUUUUGACCCACAAAUACACCACGAGUUUCUGUUUACAUGAAAACUUUUAACAAAUUUAUGUUGUUUUCCAAAUUGCAACUUUUUUUCUGGUCAUUUAAAUUAAUUAAUAGACAUGCUGGAAUAUAGUGUAUACAGGGUUUUUUUCGCCCAGUGUUUUUUUGCCCUUUUACACUUGCAAGUGCCUUCACCCAGUCUUGAAUUCACCCAAAUACAGUUGUGUUAAAAAAAUAAAAUUUAAGAAAUUGGAAAUUGCCCAGCAGUAAAUUUGCCCACUGACAAGAGCAAAAGGGGUGAAAAUAAAGCGAGAGCUAAUAUAACCUUGCAUACAUUAAUUUGAUUAGAGAAUACAUCAGUAUGUCCUAGUUUGAGAAAUUUCACUCAAAGAUGUGGAGGACCCUUCAUCUCCUUGUUAUGUAGAUAAUCACUGUCUUAGGGCAGCUUGCUGUAUAAUGACGACCAGUUCUUUGUUAAUUUUUUCCUUUAUAUUUAUGAUAUGAUCUGUGUUUUGACUGUUCUGUAUCCUGUGUAAUUAAUUGUUCUCUCAUAAAUAUUGUUUUAAAUUAAUUUUUUAAAACUCUGAAAUGUUUGUAUGAUACAGUAGUAUUGAAUGAAAUAAAAGCUUCAUUGCAGAGCAACAGCUCUCAUGUCGAUAUACAAAGACCUUGGGCUAAUAUAUAGGACGUGAUUUUAAAACGCAGCGUCUAUGCUGUAAAACAUGGUUACAGCAAGCAUGUUUAUGACUAAUUCGUGCUUACUUUAAAGUCAGUUUUAUUUUCUGAUCAUUACAUGCAUCUUCAAAAUGUAUUUUAAACUAAUUAAGCAUAAUAAAUUAAAUGUUUACGAAUCAAGUUUGUUUCGAUUAAAAUAUUUUUCUUUGUACAAGGUUGAAAUUCAAAGCCUUAAUCUGGGUUCAGGGUUCUGAUUUGGAUCUGUUAGUUGAUUAUACCAGUAGAAAAAAGGUAUCAUAUGCUGGAUAAAAUGAAAUAACAAAAUAUUUUAGUUUUUACAAUUUGUGUCUUUUUCUUUCAUAUUUGGAGUCGACAUUAAUAUUCAAGAUAUGAAUGAAAGAAAUGGUAACAAACACCAGUACAAUGUAACAGAUAUUGUGAGUUUGUUUCCAUUGUUACUCUGUUUUAUAUCGUGUUUUUAUUCUGUAUCUUAUACAUUGUACUUUGUUUUAAAUCAAUAUGCCAAGAUAAUAUAUUUCAUUGUUAUUUUUAUUGCACAGUUGUGCUCAGUAUAGGUUCAAAUGUAUUAUUAAGUACAAUGUACAAUAAUCAUUACCGUUAAUUUUGAUUAUAAUGCAACUGAUAUUAUCAAAUGUGCCAGAUGGUUGUGAAUUAUAUUUAAUACAUUGGAAGACAUCUUUCAUAAAAUGAAACUAUGUGCAUUAGUAAGCUGUACUGUCUGUUUUUAUGUAAUAAAUAAAAAAUCUAUUGG
rnacentral:sRNA from 1 species